rnacentral:rRNA from 1 species
UACGUAGGGUGCGAGCGUUAAUCGGAAUUACUGGGCGUAAAGCGUGCGCAGGCGGUGAUGUAAGACAGUUGUGAAAUCCCCGGGCUCAACCUGGGAACUGCAUCUGUGACUGCAUCGCUGGAGUGCGGCAGAGGGGGAUGGAAUUCCGCGUGUAGCAGUGAAAUGCGUAGAGAUGUGGAGGAACACCGAUGGCGAAGGCAGCCCCCUGGGCUAACACUGACGCUCAGGCACGAAAGCGUGGGGAGCAAACAGG